rnacentral:lncRNA from 1 species
CCAAUCAUUCUACAAUAUCUUCUCCAAGGAAUUAUUUCCCUCUCGCUCGCUCCUUCAACGUAGUGCUUAUUGCAAUCAAAUUAAACAAGCAGUACUUGUUACUAAUCUCGCCUUCACUUAUUCUAACAAAUAAACAUGACCGACACUCCUAAGCAAAUUACCAUUGCCAUACUGUUGCAAACAAAAAUAAAAAUUUUUUUUCUUUUUAAUUACCUGCUG